AGGAUGAACGCUGGCGGCGUGCCUAACACAUGCAAGUCGAGCGAUAACCAGGGCUUGCCCUGGGGACAGCGGCGAACGGGUGCGUAACACGUGAGCAACCUGCCCCAAAGACCGGGACAACCCGAGGAAACUCGGACUAAUACCGGAUGCCCUCACCGGGCCGCAUGGUCUGGUGAGGAAAUGGAUUCCGCUUUGGGAUGGGCUCGCGGUCUAUCAGCUUGUUGGUGGGGUAACGGCCUACCAAGGCGACGACGGAUAGCUGGUCUGAGAGGACGAUCAGCCACACUGGGACUGAGACACGGCCCAGACUCCUACGGGAGGCAGCAGUGGGGAAUCUUGCGCAAUGGGGGAAACCCUGACGCAGCGACGCCGCGUGCGGGAUGAAGGCCUUCGGGUUGUAAACCGCUUUCAGCAGGGACGAAAUUGACGGUACCUGCAGAAGAAGGCCCGGCCAACUACGCGCCAGCAGCCGC
rnacentral:rRNA from 1 species